rnacentral:rRNA from 1 species
GUCUUAGCUUGCUAAGGCCGAUGGCGACCGGCGCACGGGUGAGUAACACGUAUCCACCUUGACGUCUACUCUUGGACAGCCUUCUGAAAGGAAGAUUCCUACAAGAUGGCAUCAUGAGUUCGCAUGUUCACAUGAUUAAAGGUAUUCCGGUAGACGAUGGGGAUGCGUUCCAUUAGAUAGUAGGCGGGGUAACGGCCCACCUAGUCUUCGAUGGAUAGGGGUUCUGAGAGGAAGGUCCCCCACAUUGGAACUGAGACACGGUCCAAACUCCUACGGGAGGCAGCAGUGAGGAAUAUUGGUCAAUGGGCGAGAGCCUGAACCAGCCAAGUAGCGUGAAGGAUGACGGCCCUACGGGUUGUAAACUUCUUUUGUGCGGGAAUAAAGGAGCCUACGUGUAGGCUUUUGCAUGUACCGUAACGAAUAAGCAUCGGCUAACUCCGUGCCAGCAGCCGCGGUAAUACGGAGGAUGCGAGCGUUAUCCGGAUUUAUUGGGUUUAAAGGGAGCGUAGACGGGUUUUUAAGUCAGCUGUGAAAGUUUGGGGCUCAACCUUAAAAUUGCAGUUGAAACUGGAGACCUUGAGUACGGUUGAGGCAGGCGGAAUUCGUGGUGUAGCGGUGAAAUGCUUAGAUAUCACGAAGAACUCCGAUUG